UUUAAUUUUGUUUUAUUCUGUUUUAAAUAUUUUCUUUGAAAGAUAGAAUUGUGCCGGAUACGGCCAAUUAAAACAAUGUUUUUCUCGGACAUAGGUUUGAACUGGUCCAAAAAAAUUGCGUAUACGCUCAUACCUAAUACAGUUAUCUAAAUUUCACUGAAAAAUGAUCAUGAAUAAGGCCCUGUUUGGAUGCAUAGUUAAAAAACUCCAUGGAAUUUUUAUUUUAUAGUUUUGGUCUAAAUGAAAUACGAAAUCUUGUAACUACAAAAAAAUUCCACAGCUCCAUUUUUAAGCUGUUUGGAUACAUAUCAUACAAUUCCACAGAAUUUAUAAUAAUUAAAUUUCUAAAAUUUUAAAAUUCAAAAUUCAAAAUUCAAAAUUCAAAAUUUAAAAUUCAAAUUUUAAAAAUAAAAUUUUAAAAAUUAAAAUUCAAAAUUCAAAAUAUAAAAUUAAAAUUUAAAAUUUAAAAUUUAAAAAUUAAAUUAGAUUUUCUGUUUUAAAUUUGAAAUUUGAAAUUUGGAAUUUGAAAUUUAAAAUUUGAAAUUUGAAACUUUAAAUAAUAAAAUGUAAAGUAUACCAUUUAAACUUUAAAUUUUGAAAUUUAAAAAAUCUAUAAUUAAAAUUUUAAAUUUUAAAUUUAAUAAUUUAUAAAUUUAAAAUUUAAAUUUUAAGUUUAAAUUUAAAUUUUGAAAAUAAAAAAUUAAAAAUUAAAAAUUAAAUUGAAAUUUGAAAUUUGAAAUUUGAAAUUUGAACUUUUUGAAAUUUGAAAUUUGAAAUUUGAAAUUUGAACUUUUUGAAAUUUGAAAUUUGAAAAUUGAAAUUUUAAAUUUUAAAAUUUUGAAAUUUGAAAUUUGAAAUUUGAAAUUUUUAAAAUUUGAAAUUUGAAAUUUGAACUUUUUGAAAUUUAAAAUUUAAAAUUUGAAAUCAAAAUUAAAAAUAAAUUUUAAAAUUUUAAAUUUUGAAAUUUAAAAUUUUAUGUUGAAAUUUAAAAUUUAGAAAUUGAUACAUCUUCGGGAGCCCAAAAUGGUGGAAUUUUUUUUCUUUGGUUAAAGUGGAUUGUAAGUUUACUCCAUUUUUUAGAAUAUAGUAUAACUAUACUCCAUCAUUUUUUUUUCUUCCAAACGCUUCAUAAAAUUAUUUUCCUAUCAGCGUAGCAUAGUUUAACUAUGCUACGUUUUUAGAGGUAUCCAAACGGGCCUAAGUGCCUACUGGUAUUGCACAAUUUACAAAGCUAUCCUCGUUGACUCAAAAAUAUCUGUAACAAAU
rnacentral:lncRNA from 1 species